CAAGGCUGGAAGACGAAAGGCAUUAAAUGCAAAUAAAUUGAGUUUUUUGUCCAUUCAAGCCAAAGUACACACAUGAAUGCUGCAACAAUACGAAUCCUUAGAGCACAAAACAAACAAUUUAAAUUCCAAGGGUAGCUGGUAAGCAUGUUUAUCAUGAGGUGACUAGUUUUCAUUUUCAUUUAUAACAGGCAGAAGUAGAAAUGUAUAAAUAUAAUAAUGGAGAAAUUUGUCAAAAAGUUAUCCCUUUUCAUUUUACGCCAUCUCUGUCAUAUAAAGAUGGAAAAUAUGUCAACAACAGGUUAAUCACUUAAGACAUCACUAAUACAUUGGGUCCUCCCAUUUUUCGUCGUCAGAGCUCCAAACUUCCAUUAUACGCAAUCUCUAUCAUAUGAAGAUGGAAAGUAUGUCAGGAAAAGGUUAAGUCAUAUGAAGAUGGAAAGUAUGUCAGGAAAAGGUUAAGUCAUAUGAAGAUGGAAAGUAUGAAGAUGAAAAGCAUGUGUCAAAGUCACCUCAGCAUAACGUCCUAGUGACGGCCAAUAUAUAUGUACCCAAUAUUGGAACAACCUCAUAUCGAAUUUCAGCAGUAGAUAGGUAUUCAAGCU
rnacentral:lncRNA from 1 species